UACGAAGGGGGCUAGCGUUGCUCGGAAUCACUGGGCGUAAAGCGCACGUAGGCGGAUUGUUAAGUCAGGGGUGAAAUCCUGGAGCUCAACUCCAGAACUGCCUUUGAUACUGAGGAUCUCGAGUCCGGGAGAGGUGAGUGGAACUCCGAGUGUAGAGGUGAAAUUCGUAGAUAUUCGGAAGAACACCAGUGGCGAAGGCGGCUCACUGGCCCGGUACUGACGCUGAUGUGCGAAAGCGUGGGGAGCAAACAGG
rnacentral:rRNA from 1 species